rnacentral:misc_RNA from 1 species
UCAAACUUGGUCAUUUAGAGGAAGUAAAAGUCGUAACAAGGUUUCCGUAGGUGAACCUGCGGAAGGAUCAUUAACAAAUCUAUUUGAGUGCAGUAGUCCUAGUGGCUACUUGCACACAUAAGCCCUAGAGCGUAGCACCUCUGGUGUGACCGCUCUAGUGUGUUUGGAGGACUCCGGUUCUCCACAUUGACGCUUGUUUGUUUGACAGAGUUAUUAUGACAACAAAAAUAGACAACUUUUAACAAUGGAUCUCUUGGCUCUUGCAUCGAUGAAAACGCAGC